AUUGAACGCUGGCGGCAGGCCUAACACAUGCAAGUCGGGCGAGCGGAGGACGGGUGAGUAAUGUAUGGGGAUUCGCCUGAUGAAUGGGAAUAAAUACUGGAAACGGUAGCUAAUACAGAAUACCAUCAGAGGAAACAAUAUGGGAUUAGCUUGUAGGUGAGGUAACGGAUAACCUAGGCGACGAUCCCUAGCUGGUCUGAGAGGAUGAUCAGCCACACUGGGACUGAGACACGGCCCAGACUCCUACGUGCGGCAGCAGUGGGGAAUAUUGCACAAUGGGAGCAAGCCUGAUGCAGCCAUGCCGCGUGUAUGAAGAAGGCCUUCGGGUUGUAAAGUACUUUCAGUCGGGAGGCGUUACUGACAGAAGCAGCACCGGCUAACUCCGUGCCAGCAGCCGCGGUAAUAC
rnacentral:rRNA from 1 species